rnacentral:lncRNA from 1 species
UCCUCCCCGCACCGCGCCAACGUGUCGCCAAGCUCCCUCGUCGCCCGCCUCGUCUUCCCCGCCGCUGGUUCGAGCUCCAUGCCACAGCAGCGUCCGGGACGAGGUCAUCUUCAACCCCCGAACACCGAGCUCCGUCGCGUCGGAUUCCGCCUCGCCCCUGCGCUCCCGUUUCCCACAGGCCUUUCGUGAGCCGCUCGGUGAGCUCCACCCCCUUCUGCUCCCAUCAUUGAAUUGUUUCCACGCCAUAGCUAGCCGAGCGCGACGCGCCUCCACUGCCGCGCUACGGCUCCGCUGUCGAGCUCGUCGUCGCGGUCACCGCACUCGCGGCUCGUCCAACCGCGUAACCAUGCUCCCUGCGCCACCAAGAUCCCGUAGCACUCUCCAGUGCGUGCCCUCGCUGCCCCUAGCUCUGUCCCCGACGAGCCUCGAUUCCAACCAUCCGCCAAUGUGCUCGCGCCGCUCAACUUCGGCCACUCCCGUGCCUGCGGCCAUCACCAGUCAACACGCGCCGCUGCGAGCGUUCGAACGCACCCGGUCCCGCGACGAGUCGUGCCCCGCAGCCCCGCCUUCGGGAUCGCCCGAGCCAUGGCGUCCGCCCGCUCAUCGCCGGCGACGCUGCGGUCCUCCUCCGGCCGAGCCACCUGCAACCUACAUCCCGCUGGCCGCCUCUGUCUGACCCCCGCGUGCGCGUAUGCUGCUGCGCUGCUGCCGCGCCCACUCGCCUCUGGCCUCGCUUUGCCUCGCCUCCGGCCGGCGCUUGGCCGCACCCCGCGCCGCUCGCACAAAGCCCCGUCGUGCCAGCUCGGCGCUGUCGCCACUGCCUGCUAGCUACUGCUGCUCCUACAUGCUGCUGCCUGCUGCAUCUGCUCGCUGCCUGUUGCUACUAGUGCAGCGCUGUUACAGCAACAUUCAGUUACUGUAGCAGUGGCUAGCUUUGCUGCUGUUGCGUUGACUAACCCUUUGUACAGCUUCUGAACAGCGACUAAAUAAUUGUUAACUGGCCUAAUAAAAAUAUGGGCAGAUAGUGCACUUGACAAGCUCCAAGUUACCCCAUUUGACCAAAUUCAAAUAAGGCAUGAAUUAAAUCCUACAAAAAUCACAAAAUGCUAUCUUGUGUUAAAAGGAAUAGAUUUACUCCCUAGCAUUGUGUGUAUUCGUGUUUGCAAUGGCCGAGCGCCCGUGCAGGUGUGGCGUGUGAUGUGUGUGCGUGAGUGCGUGCGUUGUGUGUGUUCUGUAGGUGUGUGUGAUGUGUGUACAGCGUGUGUGUGGCCGUGUGUGGGGCUGCCCCAAAUUAGUUUAGGUCUAAUUUAAUUAGAUAGAUUAGUUUUAGGAUUACUUUUGCUGUUUAGCUAGUACUAGUAUUUAAUUAGUGCUAAGUUACUUUAAUAGUAGAUGACAUGUGGGUCCUCAUUUAGAUAAGUUAGGUUUAUUUAUUUCUUUAGGAAAAUAGUCUAUGACAUGUGGGCCACACAUGCCCUUUUGACUAGUCAAAUUGACUUGGUCAAUUCGGAUUAAACUAAAUAUAAUAAAUCCAGAAAUUUCAGAAAAUACUUAAAACUUUGGAAAAUCAUAAAAAAUUAACCAUAACUCCGAUGAAAAAACUUUGUACAUGGAAGUUGCUCAGAACGACGAGACGAUUCCGGAUACGCAGCCCGUUCGUCCGCCGCACACCCCUAGCAUAGCAAACACGCAACUUUUUCCCUCUGGUUCAUCUGUCCGAAAACGCGAAACACCGGGAAUACUUUCCCGGAUGUUUCCCUCCUUCACCGGUAUCACCUAGUACUGCGCUAGGUCACCCCUAGCACCACGUAUUGCCUUGUUAUGUUUUGUGAUGCUUUGAUAGCUCUGUUAUUUAUUGUGUUCCCCUCGUUACUUCUUUCCGAUAGACCCCGAGACCGCGGUUGAACCAGUGAUCGACUACUUCACCUUCGAGGGUCCGUUUCUAUCUGCAGAGCAACCAGG